rnacentral:rRNA from 1 species
GUUGNGGCGCCUUAACAUGCAAGUCGAACGGUAACAGGUCCUUCGGAUGCUGACGAGUGGCGAACGGGGUGAGUAAUACAUCKCGAACGUGCCCAGACGUGGGGGAUAACGAGGCGAAAGCUUUGCUAAUACCGCAUACGAUCUAAGGAUGAAAGCAGGGGACCGCAAGGCCUUGCGCGUUUGGAGCGGCCGAUGGCAGAUUAGGUAGUUGGUGGGAUAAAAGCUUACCAAGCCGACGAUCUGUAGCUGGUCUGAGAGGACNACCAGCCACACUGGGACUGAGACACGGCCCAGACUCCUACGGGAGGCAGCAGUGGGGAAUUUUGGACAAUGGGCGAAAGCCUGAUCCAGCAAUGCCGCGUGCAGGAUGAAGGCCUUCGGGUUGUAAACUGCUUUUGUACGGAACGAAAAGGCCCUGGCUAAUACCUGGGGCACAUGACGGUACCGUAAGAAUAAGCACCGGCUAACUACGUGCCAGCAGCCGCGGUAAUACGUAGGGUGCGAGCGUUAAUCGGAAUUACUGGGCGUAAAGGCGUGCGCAGGCGGUUUUGUAAGACAGAUGGUGAAAUCCCCCGGGCUCAAACCUGGGAACCUGCCUUUUGUGACUGCAAACGCUGGANUGCGGCAGGACGGGGGAUGGAAUUCCGCCGUGUACNCAAGUGAAAGUGCGUAGAUAUWGCGGAGGAACACCCGAUGGCGAAGGGCAAUACCCCUGGGCCCUUCACAUNACGUCUCAUGCCACCAAAAGCCGNUAGGCGGAACCAAAC